AAACAAAAUUGGUGAGGGUUGAUGAGAAUUAAUGGGAAAGAAUGGAAAUUGAUGAGGAUUAAUAAGGAUUAAUAGAAACAAUGGAAAUCAAUAAGGGUUAAUAGGAAUUAACGGGGAAGAAUGGAAAUGAGUGAGAAUCAAUGAGGAAAAAACAGUAGCAAUUAACGAGAACUAAUGAGAACGAGUAGAACAUAAUUGCAAUUUAUAAAGAUUAGCGGGAACUAUUAGCAGAUAAGGAAAAAUAAUUAAUAAGAAUUAAUAAAAACUAAGAUGGGGAUGAAUAGGAUUGGGAAAUAAAGCGGAUUAAUUGGAAUUGGUAAGAGAUAAUGGGAAUUAAUUAAUGGGAAUUAAUGGGAACUAAUGGGAAUUACUGGCAAAUAAUUAACGGAAAUAAUCAUUGAUAAUGAUUAAUAAUUGAGUUAAUGGAGAACGGUGUUAAUUAAUGAGGAACAAUGGGAACUGGGGAGGCACUGGGGAUACUGGGGAGUGCUGGGAGCACUGGGAAUGGGGGGGGUACUGGGGAUACUGGGAGCACUGGGAAUCGUGGGGUUACUGGGGAUACUGGGAGGUACUGGGAAGCACUGGGGAUACUGGGAGCACUGGGAAUAGCGGGGGUACUGGGGAUACUGGGAGAUACUGGGAGGAUACUGGGGAUACUGGGAGGUACUGGGGAUACUGGGAGGAACUGGGAAUAGCAGGGGUACUGGGGAUACUGGG
rnacentral:lncRNA from 1 species